CAACAAAUCCACACACGUUACAGGAACUCAAGGACAAUAUCCAUGAGUCAGUUCAUUCACUUUCUCAAAGAGAAGUACAUUGUGUGACAAAUAAUUUCUUCAGUAGAUGUGAGGAAUGCGUGGAAAAAAAUGGCAGGUAGUUCCAGCAUCUCAGUGCAUGACGUAGGUAGAAGAUAGGAAUGAAGUGCCAACCUAUUCUAAGCUGGAAGUGCAGUCUGUAGCAAAUUAUGUGGAGAGUUUGCAUAGCAAUAGUAGUAAUACAAGGUGUCCAACAAAGGACUUCCUAACAUUAGAAUUAAAUAACAUGAAAAUAAUAGAAUAGACAUUAUGUUUACUGUGAAAGCAGUAAGAACUGUAUACAGAAGCUUUGAAAUAAUAGUUACAAAACAUGGAACUGUCAUAGAAAAACAAUGUACUUAUAAAUAAUACUCCAAAGUUCAGAGCAAUCAGUUCCACAAAUCAGUUCAUCAAAUUCAAAUGGACAGGCAGCAUGUAAAUGUUGGGCCGGUGGCAGCUGUAGUUACUCUUGAAGAUGUCAGCACACUUUCUGAAAGUAUUCAGCGGAAUAUGAGGAAAUUUGUCCAAAGAAUUUCUAUAGAGGCUGGUUUGAAGUGUUCAAGCAUGCAUAUACUACUGAGAAAAGGUCCACACAUGUUCCUAUUGAAAAUCCACAGCCACCCGGUCAUAUCCAUAACCACUGUGAAAUAAAGGGCUUACUGCAGACCGAAUUCUCACAAUAACUGAAGGAUUUGGUGCUGGCUGCAUCUGGUUUUCUGGUUAAGGAUACAUCCAUCUCAAUGUGUUGGAGAAUAAGAAAACUGUCAGUUUUGGGGUACCGAAAAGCCCCGUUUGUAUGAAGAAAAACCAUUGCAUUCUCCUAAAGCUAUUGUUUAGGCUUGUGAUAUGCAGCAGGCAUACAAUCAGCCCUUACGUCAUGCAAGAAUCAGUAGCUAGUAAACAUUACUUUAUAAUUUUUGAAAAGUUUGUCAUCAAACAAUAAGCUUUAGAGCCUCAAAUGUGCACUGAGUGAUUCAUGCAAAAUGGGGCCUGAUCACAUCCCACCAAACAGGUGUUCCACUUCGAGAAUAGGGUUGUUGUGUGCAUUAUCCCAUUUUUAUGGACACAGGCAUGGAAAGCCUCCAUAUUCACUCAGUCUGACUUUUGGGACUACUUUUCUGGGGCACGUUGAAAUACAUCAUCAACUGGGACCAUCCCACCACACUGGAUGAAUGUGAACUGUUGAUCUGCAUUGCAACUGAAUCCAUUUCCGUACACAUUAAGAUGUGAUAAAAAUGAUGAGCAGUGAGCAUUUUGAAAAGAUUAUGAUGUGAUUGCAAAGGCUGUUUGCAAAAGAUAAAAUUUAUGUAUGCAUGCUGAUAAAAGCGUAAAUUGUACAGUGCCAUUAGCAGUUUUUCUAAGUAUUAUACUAAACUUCUGUACAAAAUUCUUUGUGUUCAAAAUUAAUCUACCAUUCAUUCAAUUCUUUUCUUUUCUGUGUUAGUUAAUUAUAAACCAGGGAGUCCUUGGUUGGCUACCCUUUAUAUUUAUAGUUAAUGAAAACCCAGCAACUACACACACAAUUCUUCAGUCAGCAGAUCUUCAAACUUCCACUCCUAGGUACUCCACAAUGAAGAAAAGGGAGCAGAAUGAUGAAUAUGGUUCUGCAAUUGAGUCAAUCACUAAUAC